rnacentral:rRNA from 1 species
CCUACGGGUGGCAGCAGUCGAGAAUCAUUCACAAUGGGGGAAACCCUGAUGGUGCGACGCCGCGUGGGGGAAUGAAGGUCUUCGGAUUGUAAACCCCUGUCAUGUGGGAGCAAAUGAACAAGAUAGUACCACAAGAGGAAGAGACGGCUAACUCUGUGCCAGCAGCCGCGGUAAUACAGAGGUCUCAAGCGUUGUUCGGAAUCACUGGGCGUAAGGGGUUCGUAGGCUGUUUUGUAAGUCGUGUGGGAAAUGCGCGGGCUCACCCCGCGGACGGCACAUGAUACUGUGGGACUAGAGUAAUGGAGGGGGAAUCGGAAUUCUCGGUGUAGCAGGGAAAUGCGUAGAGA